rnacentral:rRNA from 1 species
GAUGAACGCUAGCUACAGGCUUAACACAUGCAAGUCGAGGGGUAACGAGAGGAAAGCUUGCUUUCCUUGUCGACGACCGGCGCACGGGUGAGUAACGCGUAUCCAACCUGCCCCCAACUAGGGAAUAACCUUGCGAAAGUAAGACUAAUACCCUAUAAUUUCCUCAGAUGUCAUCUGACGAGGAAUAAAGAUUUAUCGGUUGUGGAUGGGGAUGCGUCUGAUUAGCUUGUUGGCGGGGUAACGGCCCACCAAGGCAACGAUCAGUAGGGGUUCUGAGAGGAAGGUCCCCCACAUUGGGACUGCGACGCGGUCCAAGCUCCUACGGGAGGCAGCAGUGAGUAAUAUUGGUCAAUGGGCGGAAGCCUGAACCAGCCAAGUAGCGUGCAGGAUGACGGCCCUAUGGGUUGUAAACUGCUUUUAUACAGGAAUAAAGUUAGCCACGUGUGGUUAUUUGUAGGUACUGUAUGAAUAAGGACCGGCUAAUUCCGUGCCAGCCGCCGCCGUAA